CGAACGUUAGCGGCGCGCCUAACACAUGACAAGUCGAACGAGAAGUUCCCUUCGGGGGACAAGUAAAGUGGCGCACGGGUGCGUAACACGUAGGCAAUCUCCCUGAGAUGGGGGAUAACCCUCCGAAAGGAGAGCUAAUACCGCGUAAGACCACAGUGACUCCGGUCACAGGGGUCAAAGCUAGCCUCUACUUGUAAGCUAGUGUCUCGGGAUGAGCCUGCGGCCCAUCAGUUAGUUGGUAGGGUAACGGCCUACCAAGGCGAAGACGGGUAGCUGGUCUGAGAGGAUGGACAGCCACACUGGCACUGAAACACGGGCCAGACUCCUACGGGAGGCAGCAGUGGGGAAUCUUGGUCAAUGGGCGCAAGCCUGAACCAGCGACGCCGCGUGAGUGAUGAAGGCCUUCGGGUUGUAAAGCUCUGUGGGAAGGGAAGAAAAAAGCCAAGUCGAAUAGGCUUGGAAAUUGACGGUACCUUCUUAGCAAGCACCGGCUAACUCUGUG
rnacentral:rRNA from 1 species